rnacentral:rRNA from 1 species
GGUUGCGAUCAUACCAGCACUAAAGCACCGGGAUCCCAUCAGAACUCCGCAGUUAAGCGUGCUUGGGCGAGAGUAGUAUUAGGAUGGGUGACCCCUGGGAAGUCCUCGUGUUGCAACCC